rnacentral:rRNA from 1 species
CAGUAGCGCGGAAUACGUAUGUCACAAGCGUUAUCCGGAUUUAUUGGGCGUAAAGCGCGUCUAGGUGGUUAUGUAAGUCUGAUGUGAAAAUGCAGGGCUCAACUCUGUAUUGCGUUGGAAACUGUGUAACUAGAGUACUGGAGAGGUAAGUGGAACUACAAGUGUAGAGGUGAAAUUCGUAGAUAUUUGUAGGAAUGCCGAUGGGGAAGCCAGCUUACUGGACAGAUACUGACGCUAAAGCGCGAAAGCGUGGGUAGCAAACAGGAUUAGAUACCCCUGUAGUCCCUGUCUCUUAUACACA